UUGCUUUUGGUCAGGGUGUUUUGUCAGCCUGGGAAACCCCAACUAAGAGAGACCCAUAUCUAUAAGUAACUUUAAAAGUUGUUCAUAUAUAUAUGAUUCUGCACCAAACUAAAAUAUGGGGCGUUGGUUUAGGAAACAUGUAGGAUAAUGUCAUUAUGCAGCAAGGCGGGUCCAGGAUAAGGCAAGCCUAUCACUGGAUGAGGAGGAGCGGUAGGCGGGGAAAAGUCUAGGAAGGAGGGAAGAGAAGGAGCGAGGGAGAUCAAGAUGGAGUCCAUGGAAGAAAAUGGUUCAGAUUUAGUGUGCAUCCGAGGACACCCCAGCACGUUAGAAAACACCCAAACAGGUCAGCCCCACACAGCCAGGGAGAAGGCUGGUUCCUCUUGUUCUGCAUGACUGAGAUCCGUUUGUCUACAUGCCCUCCCUCAUGUCUCCAUGGUAACAAGACCGGCUGGACAUUGGACAUCCCACACUGAUUUCCGGCAUCACUUUGUAGAAGCAGGAUGGACCAUGGGCAUUUUUGCUUGUUCACACAUCUCCUGAAACUGACCCAUUCACUUAUCCAUUAACUUGAGGUUUUGUUGGGUUUAUAUUAAAAUGGUAGGGUUGGGAAAUUCUAAGAGAUCAUGUGGAGUCAAAAGCUGAAAACAUGUGCUAUUUGUCCCAUUAUAAAAAAAAAAACACCAA